rnacentral:rRNA from 1 species
UUUGAUUUUCCGGUCUAUACCAGUGAUCAGCGAUGUCAUUGUCGAUCAGUACAAGCCUAAGUAAGGUGAAACCGCAAACAGCUCAUUACAUCAGUCGUGGUUCCUUGGAUCAUGGCCGCGCCACACGGAUAACUGUGGUAAUUCUAGAGCUAAUACGUGCACCGAGACUCCCGAACGGGUCCUGUUGGGUUCUCCCUUCAGGGUGCUUGUGAGGGAGGCUUUUAUUAGAUCGGAACACCAACAUUUACCCUUGGUGAUUCUGAAUAACAUUGGCGGAUCGCACGGCCUCCGAGCCGGCGACGCAUCCUUCAAGCGACUGCCUUAUCAAACUUUCGACGGUACGGUCUCGGCCUACCGUGGUGAUAACGGGUGACGGGGAAUCAGGGUUCGAUUCCGGAGAGGGAGCCUGAGAAACGGCUACCACAUCUAAGGAAGGCAGCAGGCACGCAAAUUACCCACUCCCGGCACGGGGAGGUAGUGACGAAAAAUAACGAUGCGGGACUCAUCCGAGGCCCCGUGAUCGGAAUGAGCCGACUUCAACACAGUCGAGCGAGGAACAAUUGGAGGGCAAGUCUGGUGCCAGCAGCCGCGGUAAUUCCAGCUCCAAUAGCGUACACUAAACUUGUUGCGGUUAAAAAGCUCGUAGUUGGAUCUGUGUCUGCUGGCGGUCGGUUCGCCUUUCCCGGGCGUGACACUGGCCUGCCAGCGGACGUUCUUUGGCCGGUUUCAACCUCCCGCCCGGGUGCUCUUCACCGGGUGCCCGUGGCGGGCCGGCGAGUUUACUUUGAACAAAUCGGAGUGCUUCGAGCAGGCGGUUGCCGCCCGAACGCCUCGUGCAUGGAAUAAUGGAAAAGGACCUCGGUUCCUAUUUUCCGUUGGUCGUUCCGAACCUGAGGUAAUGAUUAACAGGGACGGACGUGGGCAUUCGUAUUGCGGCGUUAGAGGUGAAAUUCUUGGAUCGUCGCAAGACGGACUGAAGCGAAAGCGUCUGCCAAGGACGCUCUCAUUAAUCAAGAACGAAAGUCAGAGGUUCGAAGGCGAUUAGAUACCGCCCUAGUUUUGACCUUAAACGAUGCCAGCCAGCGAUCCGCCGAAGUUGCAAACCGAUGACUCGGCGGGAAGCUCCCGGUAAACCCAGGGAGUCGGGUUCCGGGGGAAGUAUGGUUGCAAAGCUGAAACUUAAAGGAAUUGACGGAAGGGCACCACCAGGAGUGGAGCCUGCGGCUUAAUUUGACUCAACACGGGAAAACUCACCAGGCCCGGACACUGGAAGGAUUGACAGAUCGAGAGCUCUUUCUUGAUUCAGUGGGUGGUGGUGCAUGGCCGUUCUUAGUUGGUGGAGCGAUUUGUCUGGUUAAUUCCGAUAACGAACGAGACUCCAGCCUGCUAACUAGUAUAGGGAAGCCCUUCAUGGACUUCCACUACAUACUUCUUCUUAGAGGGACAGGCUGCUCCCAGCAGCACGAGACGGAGCAAUAACAGGUCUGUGAUGCCCUUAGAUGUUCUGGGCCGCACGCGUGCUACACUGGUGGAAUCAGCGUGUCGUCCCUGACCGAGAGGUACGGGUAACCAGCUGAACCUCGACCGUGUUUGGGAUCGGGGCUUGCAAUUAUUCCCCGUGAACGAGGAAUUCCUAGUAGGCGCGAGUCAUAAGCUCGCGUCGAUUACGUCCCUGCCCUUUGUACACACCGCCCGUCGCUACUACCGAUUGAAUGAUUUAGUGAGGGCUUUGGACUGGCGACCGGCGAUUCAUCUUCCGGCCCACCCGCAAGGGAGGUGUCCGGUGGUCGCCGACUCUUCGGAAAGAUGUCCGAACUUGAUCAUUUAGAGGAAGUAAAAGUCGUAACAAGGUUUCC